rnacentral:rRNA from 1 species
GACAGAGGCCUCAAGCGUUAGGCGGAAUCACUGGGCUUAAAGCGUGUGUAGGCGGAUCGUUAAGUGUCUUGUGAAAUCCCACGGCUCACCCGUGGAACUGCUGGGCAUACUGGCGAUCUUGAGCCACCUAGGGGCAACCGGAACAAACGGUGGAGCGGUGAAAUGCGUAGAUAUCGUUUGGAACGCCAAUGGUGAAAACAGGUUGCUGGGGGUGUGCUGACGCUGAGACACGAAAGCCAGGGGAGCAAACGGG